AAAUUGUAUUAUCAUUAUUUGGCUUGGCGUUGCAAUUGGUCAUAUAGUAAGAUGCAUCUGUUGCUGCAACUCUCUCUGGCAUGUUCGAUCAUUGCCGGAUGUUCAACGCAGAAUCGGCUUUCAAUCCCAGACCCCCGCUACUGCUAUUACAAGGGAAAAUGGUACGAGCACGGUUCGGUGUUCCAAGACAAAUGCAAUACUUGUUGGUGCUACUACGGGUCUGUAGGAUGCACGGAUAUUAACUGCGGAGAAAAACCAGGCGUAUGUCCUUGGCCCGGCGUCGGGACAUGCAUUCAAGCGUGCUAUUCCGAUCGUGACUGCCCGGGUGUAAAGAAAUGCUGUUACAAUGGCUGCGGAUAUACCUGUCAACAACCACAGUUUUGGCCGUAACACAGAGUUUUUUCCGAUUUUUGAAGAAGUGACCCUUUUCUGCAAUAUAAUGAAUGUAUGUUACGUUACAUUACUCAAAAAUGUAUGUACAAAGGUCAAUGUACAUAUGUAAACGUUGUAAUAA